CCGCUGUCUCCCGGUUCCGCAGUCACUUCCUGCAGCUGUUUCCCUGUGGCUCCGCUCCCACUGACUUUUGACAAUCAAUCUCCAGCAACGGAGCGGCCGAUCGGCGGCGGUGAGCUCAGAAAGUGGUCGUGGAGCGGGCGGCGGCGCGCGGAGUGGCGGGGCGGCUGCGGCCUGCCGGUUCCGGUUUGAAGACUCCGUCCAUCCCCUGUCACCCACUGGAUUAUGCUCGUGGCUUUCCUGCCUGAUGAUUCUUUUGCAGCAGGUCUGGCUUCCUUUACCUAACCGGCCUUCAACCUCUCCUCCUAUGUCAGUGGCUGCCAGGUCCACUGGGACCUUGCAGCUCCCGCCACAGAAGGCUUUUGGGCAGGAAGCAUCCUUGCCUCUGGCAGGGGAAGAGGAUUUAGCUAAGAGAGGGGAGCCAGAUUCUGCCCUGG
rnacentral:lncRNA from 1 species